rnacentral:rRNA from 1 species
AGAGUUUGAUCAUGGCUCAGAAUCAACGCUGGCGGCGUGCCUAACACAUGCAAGUCGAACGCGAAAGGGGCUUCGGCCCUGAGUAGAGUGGCGAACGGGUGAGUAACACGUGGGUGACCUACCUUCGAAUGGGGGAUAACGUCCCGAAAGGGACGCUAAUACCGCAUAACAUCCUGCCUUUGAACAGGUGGAGAUCAAAGCCGGGGAUCGCAAGACCUGGCGUUUGAAGAGGGGCCCGCGCCUGAUUAGCUAGUUGGUGAGGUAAUAGCUCACCAAGGCGACGAUCAGUAUCCGGCCUGAGAGGGCGGACGGACACACUGGGACUGAGACACGGCCCAGACUCCUACGGGAGGCAGCAGUGGGGAAUUGUUCGCAAUGGGCGCAAGCCUGACGACGCAACGCCGCGUGGAGGAUGAAGGUCUUCGGAUUGUAAACUCCUGUUGCCCGGGACGAAAAGCUUCGACCUAACACGUCGAGGUCUGACGGUACCGGGUGAGGAAGCCCCGGCUAACUCUGUGCCAGCAGCCGCGGUAAUACAGAGGGGGCAAGCGUUGUUCGGAAUUACUGGGCGUAAAGGGCGCGUAGGCGGCCUUCUAAGUCAGACGUGAAAUCCCCGGGCUCAACCCGGGAACUGCGUCUGAUACUGGAAGGCUUGAAUCCGGGAGAGGGGAUGUGGAAUUCCAGGUGUAGCGGUGAAAUGCGUAGAUAUCUGGAGGAACACC